GACGAACGCUGGCGGCGCGCCUAACACAUGCAAGUCGAACGAGCGAGAGAGAGCUUGCUUUCUUGAGCGAGUGGCGAACGGGUGAGUAACGCGUGAGGAACCUGCCUCAAAGAGGGGGACAACAGUUGGAAACGACUGCUAAUACCGCAUAAGCCCACGGUGCCGCAUGGCACAGUGGGAAAAGGAGCAAUCCGCUUUGAGAUGGCCUCGCGUCCGAUUAGCUAGUUGGUGAGGUAACGGCCCACCAAGGCGACGAUCGGUAGCCGGACUGAGAGGUUGAACGGCCACAUUGGGACUGAGACACGGCCCAGACUCCUACGGGAGGCAGCAGUGGGGAAUAUUGCACAAUGGGGGAAACCCUGAUGCAGCGACGCCGCGUGGAGGAAGAAGGUCGUCGGAUUGUAAACUCCUGUUGUAGGGGAAGAUAAUGACGGUACCCAACAAGGAAGUGACGGCUAACUACGUG
rnacentral:rRNA from 1 species